CUCCAGCUGACGAGUCCCAAAUAGGACGAAUUGCACAUCCUGGAU
rfam:Schistosoma haematobium scaffold608_4, whole genome shotgun sequence.